GAGUUUGAUCUUGGCUCAGAUUGAACGCUGGCGGCAUGCCUUACACAUGCAAGUCGAACGGCAGCACGGGAGCUUGCUCCUGGUGGCGAGUGGCGAACGGGUGAGUAAUGCAUCGGAACGUAUCCUGGAGUGGGGGAUAACGUAGCGAAAGUUACGCUAAUACCGCAUAUUCUGUGAGCAGGAAAGCGGGGGACCUUCGGGCCUCGACGCUCUUGGAGCGGCCGAUGUUGGAUUAGCUAGUUGGUGAGGUAAAGGCUCACCAAGGCGACGAUCCGUAGCAGGUCUGAGAGGAUGAUCUGCCACACUGGAACUGAGACACGGU
rnacentral:rRNA from 1 species